rfam:Populus trichocarpa scaffold_5_contig_303, whole genome shotgun sequence.
GCCAAUGAUGCAAACCCUGAUUUUCACUGAAAGCAGGGCUAUCGAUCUGCCUAAACUGUUGUUAAUACAUGAACUAGGACGGUCUGAGGC